UUAAAGGCUCUUUUUAGAGCCAUUCCUGUUUUGAUUGUAAAAAUUCU
rfam:Mus musculus chromosome 7, GRC primary reference assembly.